CCAGAGUUUACAUAAUCAAACACAAGGAAACUAAACCAAGCGUUAACAUAAAAGUACAUAAGUCAACAAUGUGCGGAGCAGGUUAAGCUGCAUUUCCCGUUUCCAGGCUUUCAUUCCCAGCUGCAGAGUCUCCAGGAGAAGUGAAAUUCCCGGGGUGAACCUUACUCUUCCCAACAAGAGUUCCAGCUUUUCUCUCUUCAAUGCCAGUAGUAGUUUCCCCUCUCCUUGCUCUCUCCUCCUCUAUUCUCUUCAUCUUUUCCUUCUGGCGCUUGCGCAUGAGAUAAACCUCAGCACAGCUAGCUCCAAUAGAAGACAUAAUGGCCCUCAGAGAAUGGAAAAUUUUGUCUCAAAGUGUGUUUUGUGGGAUGAAGAGUAGGAAACUGUCAAGGAAGGAAUUUAUAGAGGUUAAUGGGGGAGGGGGGUUGGCUUGGAGAGAUGAGCUAGCCAUCAUCACUAAUUCAAAUUUCUAAGCUAAUAUAUAGCAUUAUCUUA
rnacentral:lncRNA from 1 species